CCCCUCUCAGGGUCUCACCUGCAGAAUUUCCAGUACUCUACCAGUCUCGACUACAGGAGGGAGAGUCAAGCAGAGGCAUCCCAUUCCGUUCCUAGCCUGGGUGGUGACUAGCGAGUGGAAGGCAAUCUGCUACAAGU